GUCAUUCAACUACAAGAACACUA
rnacentral:tRNA from 1 species